rnacentral:rRNA from 1 species
AUGAACUACCUCGAGGUGGACCAACUCUUCAGCGUCGGCUUCGAGUUGAACGUGUUGCCGGAGACAUUCGACCACUACUGCGCCAUCCUUCAGUCUGAGAUAAUCUGCUUGGCUAUUUCCUCCCUGCUCAUUUUUGUUUGUACUCAAUUCUUGUGCUUAAUCAACAUCCUACACUAA